rnacentral:misc_RNA from 1 species
GCGGAGGAAAAGAAACCAACAGGGAUUGCCCUAGUAACGGCGAGUGAAGCGGCAACAGCUCAAAUUUGAAAUCUGGCCCUCGGGUCCGAGUUGUAAUUUGCAGAGGAUGCUUUUGGCGCGGUGCCUUCCGAGUUCCCUGGAACGGGACGCCUUAGAGGGUGAGAGCCCCGUACGGUUGGACACCAAGCCUCUGUAAAGCUCCUUCGACGAGUCGAGUAGUUUGGGAAUGCUGCUCUAAAUGGGAGGUAAAUUUCUUCUAAAGCUAAAUACCGGCCAGAGACCGAUAGCGCACAAGUAGAGUGAUCGAAAGAUGAAAAGCACUUUGAAAAGAGGGUUAAAUAGCACGUGAAAUUGUUGAAAGGGAAGCGUUUACGGCCAGACCUUUUCCUGGCGGAUCAUCUGGUGUUCUCACCAGUGCACUCCGCCAGGUUUAGGCCAGCAUCGGCUCCCGUAGGGGGAUAAAAGCAGUGGGAAAGUAGCUCCCUCGGGAGUGUUAUAGCCCGCUGCACAAUACCCUUACAGGGGCCGAGGACCGCGCUCUUGCAAGGAUGCUGGCGUAAUGGUCGUCAACGACCCGUCUUGAAACACGGACCAAGGAGUCGAACAUUUGUGCGAGUGUUUGGGUGUCAAACCCUCACGCGUAAUGAAAGUGAACGGAGGUGAGAGCCCUCUCGGGGGUGCAUCAUCGACCGAUCCUGAUGUCUUCGGAUGGAUUUGAGUAAGAGCAUAACUGUUCGGACCCGAAAGAUGGUGAACUAUGCGUGGAUAGGGUGAAGCCAGAGGAAACUCUGGUGGAGGCUCGCAGCGGUUCUGACGUGCAAAUCGAUCGUCAAAUCUGCGCAUGGGGGCGAAAGACUAUCGAAC